CAUUGAACAUAUAAGUUAAUAUAAUCAUAGUUAAUAGAAUAGAAGGUUUAGAAACUCGUUAGAAUAACAAUAUAACUCAUUAUCUAUGUUAGUCAACGUUCAUUCAUAAAUACGGUCCUUCACCGUCACGUGUGUAUUAUAUUUUUGCCAAAUCCACCAAUAGCAAUUUCUAAUUUACCCUAUUGUUCGAGUCACGGAUAGGUAACUUUCCUACAACAUUGCUAUUGGUUAGUCGGGCAAAAAUACAAUACGCACGUGACGGUGAAGGACCAGAUUUAUGAAUAAACGUGA